AGUGAACGCUGGCGGCAGGCCUAACACAUGCAAGUCGGGCGGCAGCGCGGGGGCAACCCUGGCGGCGAGCGGCGGACGGGUGAGGAAUUCGUCGGAAUCUGCCUUUUUGUGGGGGAUAACGUAGGGAAACUUACGCUAAUACCGCAUACGUCCUACGGGAGAAAGUGGGGGACCGCAAGGCCUCACGCAGAAAGAUGAGCCGACGACCGAUUAGCUAGUUGGUGGGGUAAAGGCCCACCAAGGCGACGAUCGGUAGCUGGUCUGAGAGGAUGAUCAGCCACACUGGGACUGAGACACGGCCCAGACUCCUACGGGAGGCAGCAGUGGGGAAUAUUGGACAAUGGGCACAAGCCUGAUCCAGCCAUGCCGCGUGUGUGAAGAAGGCCUUCGGGUUGUAAAGCACUUUUGUCCGGAAAGAAAUCCCUGGAGCUAAUACCUUCGGGGGAUGACGGUACCGGAAGAAUAAGCACCGGCUAACUUCGUG
rnacentral:rRNA from 1 species